rnacentral:lncRNA from 1 species
AAUAUCGACGUAUCAGAAUCAAUCAGGUCCAUGUGUUAUGUCUAUGUUUGAGUACUUAAUUCAUAGUUUCACUUUCACCUCAAUGCUAUGCUAUGGUAGCUAAAACUAAAAUUUAUUGCAGGGGACAACUACAUAUUUGAGAGAGUGGUAGAAGUGUCAUUGUGACAGUUCCUAUUAAUCUAUCUAUCUAUCUAUUCCAAUUCCAAUUCCAAUUCAUUGAAAGCUUAGCUUAGUUCCACUUGAGCUUUCUUUCCACAAAUCACUCUUGCAAAGAAAACCUUUGUAUCACCAACUCUAGCUUUAAUCUUCAAGUUCAACUAUCACACUUCACAUACAACAACAUAUCUCUAAAAGCACUUAAAAAAAAAUCACUUCUUCUAUUGUUUCUAAUCCAAACAACCACCAAUCAUUAUAAUUCUACUUUGUUGUCUAUAUUAUACUUUCAAUCUUUAGCAUAAUUCAAUCUCUCAAACCAAGUUUAAGAG